AACGAACGUUGGCGGCAGGCUUAACACAUGCAAGUCGAGCGCCCCGCAAGGGGAGCGGCAGACGGGUGAGUAACGCGUGGGAAUCUACCCAUCUCUACGGAAUAACGCAUGGAAACGUGUGCUAAUACCGUAUACGUCCUUCGGGAGAAAGAUUUAUCGGAGAUGGAUGAGCCCGCGUUGGAUUAGCUAGUUGGAGGGGUAAAGGCCUACCAAGGCGACGAUCCAUAGCUGGUCUGAGAGGAUGAUCAGCCACACUGGGACUGAGACACGGCCCAGACUCCUACGGGAGGCAGCAGUGGGGAAUAUUGGACAAUGGGCGCAAGCCUGAUCCAGCCAUGCCGCGUGAGUGAUGAAGGCCCUAGGGUUGUAAAGCUCUUUCACCGGUGAAGAUAAUGACGGUAACCGGAGAAGAAGCCCCGGCUAACUUCGUGCCAGCCGCCGCAGUAAGAC
rnacentral:rRNA from 1 species